AUUGAACGCUGGCGGUAGGCCUAACACAUGCAAGUCGAACGGCAGCACAGUAAGAGCUUGCUCUUACGGGUGGCGAGUGGCGGACGGGUGAGGAAUACAUCGGAAUCUACUUUUUCGUGGGGGAUAACGUAGGGAAACUUACGCUAAUACCGCAUACGACCUACGGGUGAAAGCAUGGGAUCUUCGGACCUUGCGCGAUUCAAUGAGCCGAUGUCGGAUUAGCUAGUUGGCGGGGUAAAGGCCCACCAAGGCGACGAUCCGUAGCUGGUCUGAGAGGAUGAUCAGCCACACUGGAACUGAGACACGGUCCAGACUCCUACGGGAGGCAGCAGUGGGGAAUAUUGGACAAUGGGCGCAAGCCUGAUCCAGCCAUACCGCGUGGGUGAAGAAGGCCUUCGGGUUGUAAAGCCCUUUUGUUGGGGAAGAAAAGCAGUAGGUUAAUACCUCGCUGUUCUGACGGUACCCAAAGAAUAAGCACCGGCUAACUUCGUG
rnacentral:rRNA from 1 species